ACUUGGCUUUCUACUCAGCUGCGCCCGCACGGGGUUCAUCCCACAGGGAUCCAGAAGACUCUUCCCUUGCUUAGGAAAGUGGUGGUGCUUCCAAACACCACUAGAGGACGCCCCAGGCCUAGCCUCAGCUCAGGGUACCGCUGAUCUACUCAACUUGCUGAGGUUUCGGGACCUUAGUAUCAGAGUUCGUCCAUCCAAAUGCUUCACUUUACAGAGGAGAAAACUGACACCCGCGGAGGCGAAGGGACUUGGCCAGGGUCACACAGGGAGUAGGCGGCAGCAACAGGAUCCGAACAGAACCCUCUGACUCCAACUCCAGAGCCGCGCCUGAAAGUAUAGAUGCUCUCGUGGCAAGUGGGUUCCCCAGGGAAGGGGAGAGGAGGCUGUUUCUUCGCCAGACACAAGGCCUUACACCCCUCCCCCUCCCCUCUCCUCCCCUCCCCCAGCUCUAUUCGGGGGAGCGUCCUGGGCUUGCCCCAUCAAGGAGAGCUCCCCCAAGGUGAAGUGGCUUGCCUCGAGAGGCAGUGAGCUCUCCAUCACUGGAGAUCCUCAAGCACAGGCUGGGUAUGGUGUGAGGGACCUUCAUGUCCGCUAUGGGUUGGACUACAAGUCUCUCUUCCAAGUCAGCGGUUCUGUGAGUCAAGAAUCCUGGGUUCACGUUCAGGAAAGACUAUCCUCUACUCCCCUCCUCGUAUGUAUACUUUACACCUUUUGUAAGCCUUAGAGCGACCAGUCUGGAAGAGCGAUGAGUCUUGUCCCGUGGGAGCUGGAGCGACCAGGGGAGACUCCCACCUGCGGAGGGAGUGAGGAAUAGAGAAAGACGGGGUCUGUGAUCCCCUUGGCCGGCUCCGUCCUUCCCCCACCGCAUCACACCUGUCCGGCAAAUGCCCUCCCUUGCCCGCAGUGCACUAAGAGGCCACAGCGGGGCGCCAGAAGCCUCAGACAGAGGUCUCCUUUCCCUUUCCAGUUUCCCCGCCAGACACUACAGAGCUUGGGAGGUUACAAGGGUCUCGGGAGCUCAGACGUAUGGAAGUGAUGUUAAGGCAGGACCAGAAGCCAGGACAUCUGGGUUCUCCCCGUGACUACAGAGCAAAUCAUCAAAGCGGCAUCGGGUCUACAAGUUGAAAGGGGCCUUGGGGUUCAGCUUGCCGACUCCGAGGCUACUGUAAUCAGGGAGGUCAACAGCGCACGGCUGACAGAGCCC
rnacentral:lncRNA from 1 species